GAUAGUGCCUGAGUAAAUUUUUCUUAUACAUUCUAGAACUCACAGACAUUAAAACUCUCUGGGUCACAAAUGAGCUAAAAGAAUAAAUGCAGAUUGUUAGAAUUGCUUUUUGAGUCUCACAUCAUUUCUGAGCUAGAGGACAUUCUCCUAGCUGUAGUCUUUAGCUGUGUGACCUCAUACAAGUUUGAUAAUUCACUUCUCCACUCUUCUUUUCUCCAUCUGUAAAAAAAAAUGCAAAACUAUCCCACAGAAUUAUUCUUAGUAUUACUUUUUGUAGUUCAUGUUUAUAAAAAUGUAUCAGUAUAUUUACCAGUCUCUGAUAAACAUUGUUACUUACAUCCCACUCUUCUGCAUUGUUUUCUUGUGACUGAAGUAUAUCACUUAGUGUUCUCUUGGGAAGAUCUGUGAGUUUUGCCCUUGAAUGAUAUUUUCAUUGGUUAUUGACUCUUAAGCAGACAGUUCAUUUACCUCAACUGUUAGAAGAUGUUUAUUUGCUGUACUCUGCUGAUGCCAAUGAGAAAUCUGUCAGCAGACUAUCAUUCAUGUAUAAGCAAUCCAUUUUUUCUCUAAGAUUAAAGUGAGACAAUUGGAAUUAACAUAAUUUUAAGGUUCCUGUCUUAUUUGUCUGGAGGAGAGAUAUAUUAACUUUAGACUUGUUAAUAAAAUAAUUUUAAGAAAGCCACUGAAAUUACAGAAUAUGUAACUAUCAAACCAGUAGAGGGGGAGAGAAGUGGUAGAUACAGAGAAAAAAAAAACAGAGUAAAUGGAAGCACAAAAGAUGAUAAAAAUAAUUCUAAAUAUGUCAGUAAUCACUAAGUGGCGUAAACUCACCAGAUACACACUGGAGACUACAAAAUUGUUACUUUCUUAAAUCCAGCUGUUGGGUUCCAAGAUGGCCGAAUAAGAACAGCUCCAGUCUACAGCUCCCAGCAUGAGCGAGGCAGAAGACGCGUGAUUUCUGCAUUUCCAACUGAGGUACCGGGUUCAUCUCACUGGGGAGUGUCGGGCAGUGGGGGCAGGCCAGCGGGUGCAGCCCACCGAGCGUGAGCCGAAGCAGGGCGAGGCAUCACCUCACUUGGGAAGUGCAAGGGGUCAGGGAAUUCCCUUUCCUAGCCAAGGGAAGUGGUGACGGACAGCACCUGGAAAAUCGGGUCACUCCCACUCUAAUACUGUGCUUUUCCAAUGGUCUUAGCAAACGGCACAACAGGAGAUUAUAUCCCGCGCCUGGCUCAGAGGGUCCCACACCCACGGAGCCUCACUCAUUGCUAGCACAGCAGUCUGAG
rnacentral:lncRNA from 1 species